rnacentral:rRNA from 1 species
CCUACGGGAGGCAGCAGUGAGGAAUAUUGGUCAAUGGACGAGAGUCUGAACCAGCCAAGUAGCGUGAAGGAUGACUGCCCUAUGGGUUGUAAACUUCUUUUAUAUGGGAAUAAAACAGGGUAUGCAUACCCUCUUGUAUGUACCAUAUGAAUAAGGAUCGGCUAACUCCGUGCCAGCAGCCGCGGUAAUACGGAGGAUCCGAGCGUUAUCCGGAUUUAUUGGGUUUAAAGGGAGCGUAGGUGGAUUGUUAAGUCAGUUGUGAAAGUUUGCGGCUCAACCCCAUCCAGCCGUUGAAACUGGGGAUCUAGAGUGUGCGAGAGGUAUGCGGAAUGCGUGGUGUAGCGGUGAAAUGCAUAGAUAUCACGCAGAACCCCGAUUGCGAAGGCAGCAUACCGGUGCACAACUGACGCUCAGGCACGAAAGCGUGGGUAUCGAACAGGAUUAGAUACCCGGGUAGUC